ACUUAAAUUGAAGAGUUUGAUCAUGGCUCAGAUUGAACGCUGGCGGCAGGCCUAACACAUGCAAGUUGAGCGGUAGCACAGAGAGCUUGCUCUCGGGUGACGAGCGGCGGACGGGUGAGUAAUGUCUGGGAAACUGCCUGAUGGAGGGGGAUAACUACUGGAAACGGUAGCUAAUACCGCAUAACGUCGCAAGACCAAAGUGGGGGACCUUCGGGCCUCAUGCCAUCAGAUGUGCCCAGAUGGGAUUAGCUAGUAGGUGGGGUAAUGGCUCACCUAGGCGACGAUCCCUAGCUGGUCUGAGAGGAUGACCAGCCACACUGGAACUGAGACACGGUCCAGACUCCUACGGGAGGCAGCAGUGGGGAAUAUUGCACAAUGGGCGCAAGCCUGAUGCAGCCAUGCCGCGUGUGUGAAGAAGGCCUUCGGGUUGUAAAGCACUUUCAGCGGGGAGGAAGGCGUUAAGGUUAAUAACCUUGGCGAUUGACGUUACCCGCAGAAGAAGCACCGGCUAACUCCGUGCCAGCAGCCGCGGUAAUACGGAGGGUGCAAGCGUUAAUCGGAAUUACUGGGCGUAAAGCGCACGCAGGCGGUCUGUCAAGUCGGAUGUGAAAUCCCCGGGCUCAACCUGGGAACUGCAUUCGAAACUGGCAGGCUAGAGUCUUGUAGAGGGGGGUAGAAUUCCAGGUGUAGCGGUGAAAUGCGUAGAGAUCUGGAGGAAUACCGGUGGCGAAGGCGGCCCCCUGGACAAAGACUGACGCUCAGGUGCGAAAGCGUGGGGAGCAAACAGGAUUAGAUACCCUGGUAGUCCACGCCGUAAACGAUGUCGAUUUGGAGGUUGUGCCCUUGAGGCGUGGCUUCCGGAGCUAACGCGUUAAAUCGACCGCCUGGGGAGUACGGCCGCAAGGUUAAAACUCAAAUGAAUUGACGGGGGCCCGCACAAGCGGUGGAGCAUGUGGUUUAAUUCGAUGCAACGCGAAGAACCUUACCUGGUCUUGACAUCCACAGAACUUUCCAGAGAUGGAUUGGUGCCUUCGGGAACUGUGAGACAGGUGCUGCAUGGCUGUCGUCAGCUCGUGUUGUGAAAUGUUGGGUUAAGUCCCGCAACGAGCGCAACCCUUAUCCUUUGUUGCCAGCGGUUAGGCCGGGAACUCAAAGGAGACUGCCAGUGAUAAACUGGAGGAAGGUGGGGAUGACGUCAAGUCAUCAUGGCCCUUACGACCAGGGCUACACACGUGCUACAAUGGCAUAUACAAAGAGAAGCGACCUCGCGAGAGCAAGCGGACCUCAUAAAGUAUGUCGUAGUCCGGAUUGGAGUCUGCAACUCGACUCCAUGAAGUCGGAAUCGCUAGUAAUCGUAGAUCAGAAUGCUACGGUGAAUACGUUCCCGGGCCUUGUACACACCGCCCGUCACACCAUGGGAGUGGGUUGCAAAAGAAGUAGGUAGCUUAACCUUCGGGAGGGCGCUUACCACUUUGUGAUUCAUGACUGGGGUGAAGUCGUAACAAGGUAACCGUAGGGGAACCUGCGGUUGGAUCACCUCCUUACCUUAAAGAA
rnacentral:rRNA from 1 species